GUUCGCACGUUUCGUAGCCUUGCUCAGACAUAAUUCAUAAACUUCGUAUUCAUGUUUCUACAUAAUCUUUGCCACAUUCGUUCAGGACCGAAACAAACGAACGAAGUAAUAACCAUUCAUAUUAAAUCGGACGCAGGAGGUAGGAAAGGACUUCGAACUCCGAACCACCGCAAGGAAGUGUUGUCAAAAUACAACCCGCAUGGCGUUUUGGUUACCUGGGUAACCACGGGCACGAGAAGACUACCAGUACCGUUUCAAUGACAAUAUCAAACAGCUGUCAAUCAAUGAAAUUCCCGAUGGACGACUUUGUUGUGAAGGUGUAAGUGUCGCUACAGCCAACCGUGGAAACCAUGGAAACGCAAAACAAAGUUGAAAAAUUAUUUCACCAGAAGUGAAUACAAGCUCGUGGAUUAUUUUCGUUCCUAUCCUUUCUCCUUUUGAUUGCCGAAAGAAUUAAUUGAUAUGAGUGACCAGACUGAACGCGUAUUUGGCCAUUUGAGAAGCCCAAUUGAAUUUGAUUUGUGUCAAAAUUCCUGGAUAUUAUAGCCAGUCAGGAAAAGCAGUUUUGUCUGUAAGAAAGUUGUUGUAUUUUUUAUAAUAUAUGUAAAUAUGUGAGAGUAACUUACAAUAUGUAGCUUCGAAAUUUGAAGUCUAUUCGCACUAUUCCGGGAAUAGUGCUUGGAAGCACUUUUUAGUAACUGUGGACGAUGGACGUGGACUGGUAUAGUUCCGAAUAAUAUGUUAGCAGUCCCCAAUGCACCACGAUCAAACGCCGCGAAAGAUAUGGCUGUUAUAGAUCUUUUGAAGAGUAAGUGUUUUUUGCGAGUCGUUCACAAAUACCUUAUUCCCAGACACAAUUGAUCUAAUUGGUCUCCACUGUGCUCUACCAGUCGAGUUUUUGUUACAAAUUUUACUUCAUAUCAAAACUAAAUAUUUUAUUUUUCUUCGCAGAAACAGUAAUCACCGAGUUUCCUCACCGAUUCAGUGAAUGACUGUAUUAAAAAAAUAUUUAAAAAUAUGAAUCAAGCCUUCUAGAAGAAGCAAACUCGAGCUGCAGAAAAUAUUUUUCUGGAAAAUAAGCACUCUAGUAAACAAUGAAUAGACGGAUUUAAAGAUUUGUAUUGAACAUCUUUCAAUUGAAUAUUGCUUUCAUCAUCAAACUUUGUUUGAAAAAUAUUUAAAAUGCAACAUUUUUACACUUUUACAAUGGUAUAAUCACAUUGAUUAAAGCUUAAUUCUUUCACUAUCUUUACGUUUCGUCUUAGACUCGUCGGUGCAGAGCAGUUCAAAUUAAACUGCUUACUGCAAACUCAAACAGUUCAAUUUGAACCGCUAAGCAGACGUAAAGUUAUUGCUAUUUGCAACACACUUGUAAAAGGUGAUUUUUUUGAGGUUAGGAUUUUCAUGCAUUAGUAUUUGCUCAGAUUUUUUGAGGUUAUGAUUUUCAUGCAUUAUUAUUUGCUCAGUAUGCUCUGACAUUUCAUCAUGAACGCUUGCAAAUCAGUGAAUGGGCCCUAGAAAAGUUGGCAGAAAAUCCGCUUUUUUAUCGACAAAUUUUGUUCAGCGAUGAGGCUCAUUUCUGGUUGAAUGGCUACGUAAAUAAGCAAAAUUGCCGCAUUUGGAGUGAAGAGCAACCAGAAGCCGUUCAAGAACUGCCCAUGCAUCCCGAAAAAUGCACUGUUUGGUGUGGUUUGUACGCUGGUGGAAUCAUUGGACCGUAUUUUUUCAAAGAUGCUGUUGGACGCAACGUUACAGUGAAUGGCGAUCGCUAUCGUUCGAUGCUAACAAACUUUUUGUUGCCAAAAAUGGAAGAACUGAACUUGGUAGACAUGUGGUUUCAACAAGAUGGCGCUACAUGCCACACAGCUCGCGAUUCUAUGGCCAUUUUGAGGGAAAACUUCGGAGAACAAUUCAUCUCAAGAAAUGGACCGGUAAGUUGGCCACCAAGAUCAUGCGAUUUGACGCCUUUAGACUAUUUUUUGUGGGGCUACGUCAAGUCUAAAGUCUACAGAAAUAAGCCAGUAACUAUUCCAGCUUUGGAAGACAACAUUUCCGAAGAAAUUCGGGCUAUUCCGGCCGAAAUGCUCGAAAAAGUUGCCCAAAAUUGGACUUUCCGAAUGGACCACCUAAGACGCAGCCGCGGUCAACAUUUAAAUGAAAUUAUCUUCAAAAAGUAAAUGUCAUGUACCAAUCUAACGUUUAAAAUAAAGAA